rnacentral:misc_RNA from 1 species
AAAAUUUUCCUUGAUGAAUUAGGUGAUUGGUGGGUUGUAGCCUUCACAAUUAAUAAUAAUCUAAAUGUUUGUAGCCUUUUCAUUGGGGCAACCCAAAGGGAAGAAGUGUGAGAGUCCACUCCACCAUCUUUUUGUUGAUUCAAAUCAAAACCUUUUUCUAUCACCUACCCGCCCCCUUGAUUUGUGCACCUAACAUUACAAAUGUAACUUUCCCAUUUUUUUUUUUAUUAUU